rnacentral:rRNA from 1 species
AACGAACGCUGGCGGCAUGCCUAAUACAUGCAAGUCGAACGAGAAAGCACUUCGGUGUGAGUAGAGUGGCGCACGGGUGAGUAACACGUAGGUUACCUACCCUCUAGUGGGGAACAACUGGGGGAAACUCCAGCUAAUACCGCAUGUGGUGGAAACACUAAAGGGGGCUUCGGCUCUCGCUAGAGGAUGGGCCUGCGGGACAUUAGCUUGAUGGUGGGGUAAUGGCCUACCAUGGCGAUGAUGUCUAGCUGGUCUGAGAGGAUGAUCAGCCACACUGGAACUGAGACACGGUCCAGACUCCUACGGGAGGCAGCAGUAGGGAAUAUUGCGCAAUGGGGGAAACCCUGACGCAGCAAUGCCGCGUGAGUGAGGACGGCCUUCGGGUUGUAAAGCUCUGUUAAUAGGGAAGAACGGCUUUAUGGUUAAUACCCAUAUUGUUUGACGGUACCUAUAGAGGAAGCACCGGCUAACUUCG